rnacentral:rRNA from 1 species
CACGUAGGGGACGAGCGUUGUCCGGAUUCAUUGGGCGUAAAGCGCGCGUAGGCGGCUCGGAAAGUCGGUCGUGAAAUGCCGGGGCUCAACCCCGGGACUGCGUCCGAUACUUCCGGGCUGGAGGUAGGUAGGGGAGAUCGGAAUUCCUGGUGUAGCGGUGAAAUGCGCAGAGUAUCAGGAGGAACACCGGUGGCGAAGGCGGCUACCUGGCCCACUCUUGACGCUGAGGCGCGAAAGCUAGGGGAGCAAACAGG